rnacentral:lncRNA from 1 species
UCUUUCUGUAUGUUGUUUGGAAACAGUAAUCAUCAACCUACAAUUUACAAGCAUUUUGUAGUUUUCAUAUUAUGAAUUUUUAAUUUUACAAUUUAUUUAUAUUUUUAAUAAUUUAUUUAAUUAAAAUAUAAUAAUAAUUAAUUUUUGUCUUUUAAUUAUAUUGAAACUUUUUUGUGGGGUACUAUUUUGUAUAUGCUUGAACACGUGGGUGAUAACACUCAAAAAUAGUGUGUACUUCUUAUAAAAAGUACAUUAUGACUCCUCAAGCAGGGGUGAUGUCUAGUGCUGUCACUUUGGUUUUUUUCAUAAGUGCUACUAUAGGGAGGGGGUACCUCACUCAAACCCUGGCGCACAGCGUCAGGCGUUGAGCGAGGCCCGUAGUGCCCAGCGCCCAGCGCUGUGCGCCCUCCUAGGGGGUUGCGGCCAGGGCCCCCGACGUUUUUGCUUCGGCAAGAACGUCGGGGGUACUUGUGACGCUUCUUCCGCCAAACCGGCCUCAGGCCGGGUGUCCCGUCCCAACGACAGCCUUGGGUUACUCGCCCAGCACAGGUGCCCAACGCCUAGGCGCAUGAGUAGGGGGCUGUGUUAAGCUCCCCCGAUUUUCUUGCAUGCCCAAUGAUGCAUUUGUGCUGAGGGCAUAUGUCAGGACCGUCGGGGCACGCAUGACAUGAUUUCUGCUGAACCGGCCCGUGGUCGGGGUCUCUCAUGCCAUUGGCCCUCGGUUGGGUGCACGUUCGUACAAUUUGUUCACACGGUGUUGGAUGGUUGCCGACCAGUAGGUCUUAGUAGGCGGUGCUUCGGUGCCGUCGAAAGGUCCGAAAGACGGUGGCUUUUCGUCAUCGUGUUGCCUUGAUGGAAAUGCGAGCACCCGGUGGAGGGCCCUUCUUGACAUUUUGUUGACAUGAUAUGACGCAAGAUGGUUGUCGGCAAGUAGUUCUCAGUAGGUGGUGCUUUGAGUGAUGCUGAAAGGUCUGAACGUUGGUGGCCUAUGCUGAUGUGUCGGCUUAAUGGAAAGAUGGCCCUCGGUUGGGUGCACGUUCGUACAAUUUGUUCACACGGUGUUGGAUGGUUGCCGACCAGUAGGUCUUAGUAGGCGGUGCUUCGGUGCCGUCGAAAGGUCCGAAAGACGGUGGCUUUCGUCAUCGUGUUGGCUUGAUGGAAAUGCGCGCACCCGGUUGAGGGCCUUUCUUGACAUUUUGUUGACAUGAUGAUGCAAGAUGGUUGUCGGCAAGUAGGUCUCAGUAGGUGGUGCUUUAAGAGCUGCUGAAAGGUUCGAACGUUGGUGGUCUAUGUUGAUGUGUCGGCUUAAUGGAAAGAUGGGCGGGCGUUCCAAAAAAUGAUUUUGUUUCCAAUUGGCCCUCGGUUGGGUGCACGUUCGUACAAUUUGUUGACACGGUGUUGGAUGGCUGCCGACCAGUAGGUCUUAGUAGGUGGUGCUUCGGUUCCGUUGAAAGGUCCGAAAGACGGUUGCUUUUCUUCAUCGUGUUGCCUUGAUGGAAAUGCGAGCACCCGGUUAAGGGCCCUUCUUGACAUUUUGUUGACAUGAUAUGACGCAAAAUGGUUGUCGGCAAGUAGUUCUCAUUAGGUGGUGCUUUGAGUGAUUCUGAAAGGUCUUAACAUUGGUGGCCUAUGCUGAUGUGUCGGCUUAAUGGAAAGAUGGCCCUCGGUUGGGUGCACAUUCGUACAAUUUGUUUACACGGUGUUGGAUGGUUGCCGACCAGUAGGUCUUAGUAGGCGGUGCUUCGGUGCCGUCGAAAGGUCCGAAAGACGGUGGCUUUCGUCAUCGUGUUGGCUUGAUGGAAAUGCGCGCACCCAGUUGAGGGCCCUUCUUGAUAUUUUGUUGACAUGAUGAUGCAAGAUGGUUGUCGGCAAGUAGGUCUCAGUAGGUGGUGCUUUAAGAGCUGUUGAAAGGUUCGAACGUUGGUGGUCUAUAUUGAUGUGUCGGCUUAAUGGAAAGAUGGGCGGGCGUUCCAAAAAAUGAUUUUGUUUCC